CUGUAUCUUCCCUCCCCCACCUCCUGUUUGCUCUGAUUUCAGAUCCUAAACAUCACUGUGAAAGCCCCAGCCUGCUGCUGAGCCAGCUGCUGCCCCACAUGGAGAAGAUGGGAGGCUGGGGUCCUAUAAUGUCAGUGAAACAGCCCUGUUGGGCCUCAGCAAGACCCUUGCAGGGAGCUGGCACACCAAAGAACAUUCGGGCAAACUGUCUGAUACCAGGAAUCAUUGACACAUGCUUCAGCACCAUGGUGAGGACCACGGGCAGCUCCUGUUUCUACCCCCUGAGCAGUAGUGUGCCUUCCCCUUCCAGGC
rnacentral:lncRNA from 1 species